rnacentral:rRNA from 1 species
UUGGAUGGGCGGCAGCCUGAUCAGCAUGCCGCGUGUGUGAAGAAGGCCUUCGGGUUGUAAAGCACUUUUGUCCGGAAAGAAAUCGCACUUACUAAUAUUAGGUGUGGAUGACGGUACCGGAAGAAUAAGGACCGGCUAACUACGUGCCAGCAGCCGCGGUAAUACGUAGGGUCCAAGCGUUAAUCGGAAUUACUGGGCGUAAAGCGUGCGCAGGCGGUUGUGCAAGACCGAUGUGAAAUCCCCGGGCUUAACCUGGGAAUUGCAUUGGUGACUGCACGGCUAGAGUGUGUCAAAGGGGGGUAGAAUUCCACGUGUAGCAGUGAAAUGCGUAAAGAUGUGGAGGAAUACCGAUGGCGAAGGCAGCCCCCUGGGAUAACACUGACGCUCAUGCACGAAAGCGUGGGGAGCAAACAGGAUUAGAUACCCUGGUAGUCCACGCCCUAAACGAUGUCAACUAGUUGUUGGGGAUUCAUUUCCUUAUUAACGUAGCUAACGCGUGAAGUUGACCGCCUGGGGAGUACGGUCGCAAGAUUAAAACUCAAAUGAAAUUUGACGGA